rnacentral:rRNA from 1 species
UGGGGAAUAUUGGACAAUGGGCGAAAGCCUGAUCCAGCCAUGCCGCGUGUGUGAAGAAGGUCUUCGGAUUGUAAAGCACUUUAAGUUGGGAGGAAGGGCAUUAACCUAAUACGUUAGUGUUUUGACGUUACCGACAGAAUAAGCACCGGCUAACUCUGUGCCAGCAGCCGCGGUAAUACAGAGGGUGCAAGCGUUAAUCGGAAUUACUGGGCGUAAAGCGCGCGUAGGUGGUUUGUUAAGUUGGAUGUGAAAUCCCCGGGCUCAACCUGGGAACUGCAUUCAAAACUGACUGACUAUAGUAUGGUAGAGGGUGGUGGAAUUUCCUGUGUAGCGGUGAAAUGCGUAGAUAUAGGAAGGAACACCAGUGGCGAAGGCGACCACCUGGACUAAUACUGACACUGAGGUGCGAAAGCGUGGGGAGCAAACA